ensembl:lncRNA
CCUCGUGCCAGGUGGGAAUUCUGGGAAUUCCAGGAAUUUUGGGAAUUCUGGGAAUUUUUUUGAGGUUUUAUUUUAAUUUUUGGGAAUUUAUUGGGAUUUUUUUUGAAUUUUAAAGCAAUUUUGGGGCAUUUUUAGGAGAUUUUUGGGUGUUUUGGGAACCUGGAAUUCAGCAGCAUCCUGAUUCCAGGUGGGAAUUCUGGGAAUUUUGGGAAUUCUGGGAAUUUUUUUGAGUUUUUUUUAAUUUUGGGGAAUUUUUUUGGAAUUUUUUGGGAUUUUUUGGGUAAUUUUAAAGCAUUUUUGGGGCAUUUUCAGCAGAUUUCAAAGAAUCCAGAAUCCACCAACACCCUGAUCCCACCUAAAAAUUCCCAAAAACUCCAAAAAUCCCUAAAAACCCCAAAAACUCCUUAAAAAAACUUCAUUUUUAAUCAAUUUUAUCCCAAUUUUUUGACGAUUCCCUCGAAUCCGACGCGAUUCCCGCUGGAAUUUCCUCAAUUCCCGGGGGGUUUUUCACUUCCCCGACCUCCAAAUUCCCAAAAUUGCCUGGAAUUCCCAAAAUUCCCGAAUUUUAGGGGCGGGGGAGCCGAAUUUGGACGCUUUGGAGUCGAAUCCGUUCCGCAGCCGCCGGCAGCGCCAGGAGUGGGAAGUGAAAGCGCUGCUGGAAAAGGUAAAAAAAUCCCCAAAAUUCCCAAAUUUCCCAAAUUCCCAAGAUUUUUUAAUCCCAAGAUUUAUUUCCUGAUCCUUUGAGAUCCCAAAUUCCCCAUUUUCCCCCCUCAUUCCCAUUUUUCCCCAAAAAAUUCCCAAUUCUCCCCCAAAAUUCCCAUUUUACCUCCCAAAAUUCCCAAUUUUCUCCCCCAAAAUCCCAUUUUCCCCCAAAAUUCCCAAUUUUCCCCAAAAAUUUCCCAUUUUUCCCUAUAAAAAUUCACAUUUUUCUUCAAAAAAUUCCCAUUUUUCCCCAUAAAUUUUCACUUCCCUUUCCCCAAAUCCCCAUUUUCCCCUCCAAAUUCCCAUUUUUCCCCCCCAAAUCCCCAUUUUCCCCUCCAAAUUNNNNNNNNNNNNNNNNNNNNCCAGGUUUAUUCCCUCCUGGAUUCCGGGUCCCCCCCGAGGCCGUUCCUGCAGCACCGAACCCCAAAUUCCCUCCAGGGGCUGCGAUUCUGCCCCUUCCAGGACGUCCUGGGCGCCGGCCACGGGCAGGGAUUCACCAGCAUCCUGGUGCCAGGGGCGGGGGAGCCGAAUUUGGACGCUUUGGAGGCGAAUCCGUUCCGCAGCCGCCGGCAGCGCCAGGAGUGGGAAGUGAAAGCGCUGCUGGAAAAGAUCCCGUGGCAGCUGCUGACCCCGGAGCCGUCGCUGCUCUCGCGCGUGGACGAGGCCGGGCUGGAGCAGAAACGGCGCGAGAGGAUCCAGCGCCUGGUAACGGCCCCAAAUCCUGGGAAUUUCACCCCAAAAUCUGGGAAUUUCACCCAAAAUCUGGGAAUUCUCACCCAAAAUCCCGGGAAUUCCACCCAAAAUCCUGGGAUUCUGACCCAAAAUCUGGGAAUUUCACCCAAAAUCCUGGGAUUCUGACCCAAAAUCUGGGAAUUCUGACCCAAAAUCUGGGAAUUUCACCCAAAAUCUGGGAAUUUCACCCAAAAUCCCGGGAAUUUCACCCAAAAUCCUGGGAUUCUCACCCAAAAUCAGGGAAUUCUGAUCCAAAAUCAGGGAAUUCUCACCCCAAAUCAGGGAAUUUCACCCAAAAUCCUGGGAUUCUCACCCAAAAUCUUGGGAAUUUCACCCAAAAUCCCGGAAUUCUGACCCAAAAUCUGGGAAUCUGACCCAAAAUCCCGGGAAUUUCACCCAAAAUCCUGGGAUUCUCACCCAAAAUCCCGGGAAUUUCACCCAAAAUCCCGGAAUUCUGACCCAAAAUCUGGGAAUUCUCACCCCAAAUCCCAAAAAUCCCACAGAAAUCGUGAGAUUCUGAUCCAAAAUCCCGGAAUUCUCACCCAAAAUCCCACAAAAAUCCCGGGAAUUUCACCCAAAAUCCUGGGAAUUCUGACCCAAAAUCUGGGAAUUCUCACCCAAAAUCUGGGAAUUCUGAUCCAAAAUCCCGGAAUUUCACCCAAAAUCUGGGAAUUCUGACCCAAAAUCCCGGGAAUUUCACCCAAAAUCCUGGAAUUCUGACCCAAAAUUCCGGGAAUUCCCCCCAAAAUCCCGGGAUUCUGUCCCAGCCCCUCCCCCGCCCAUUCCCGAUUUUUUCCCAGGGAUUCCCCCCAAAAUCCCGGGAAUUUCACCCAAAAUCCCAGAAUUCUGACCCAAAAUCUGGGAAUUCCCCUCAGAAUCCCGGGAUUCUCUCCCAGCCCCUCCCCUGCCCAUUCCCGGUUUUUCCCAGGGAUUCCCCCCCAAAAUCCCAGAAU